rnacentral:misc_RNA from 1 species
UACACCCUCACCCCUCCCUCCUUGUGUGGGUCGGUUGGCUUGCUAGCCAGCCUUAGGGGUGGAUCUGGCUUCCCCAAACUGCUCCGGCAGGUUGGGUUGGCUGAAGUUUAGAGGCUUAAACAAGGACCCGAUAUGGGCUUUAACUGGAUAGGUAGCACCGGCUUCUGCCGACUACACGAAGUUGUGGCUUGUGGACUUUGUUAGGGGCCAAGCAGGAAACAUGCUUUGCAUGUUCUAAAC